GAAAAUAAAGUCAAACAGACACAUGUCUCCAGCGUGGAAAACUUUUUGAUGGUGUGUGAGCGAGUCUCUAUUCCAGAUUAUCAGAGGCAGAACCACAGGAGGAUACAGAUAUAGAUAUGGAUAUGGGGAACUGGAGACCAGGGUGAAAACGGGAUGCAGACGGACUCUGUCUGGCAACAGCCUGCUAACGACGUUGUCAGCAACAUGGAAGAACAAUCGCCAUGAAAAAAGUGCCGACAAGCGAAUGCAUAACAAGCUGGGUUCAGAAGUAAGAGAUAGGAAAACAAAGUGCGAGGGAGAUGGUGUACUGGGAUCGUGAAUUUGAUAUGCAAACAUUGGAGGAUAAAAUUACAAUUGGAAGGGAGAAGGAUGUUCGAGCAAACUUGGGAGUAGCGAAAUGCUUUGAGGCACUUGAUGCACUUGAUUGCAGCUGGGAGAUGCAAAUUAAUAUCUCUCCAAAAGACAAAUUAGAGGCAAA